rfam:Trichobilharzia regenti genome assembly, scaffold: TRE_scaffold0002780
AUCCAGAUGACGAGUCCGAAAUAGGAUGGAAUGCACAUCCUGGAU